rnacentral:tRNA from 1 species
GUCCUUUUCGUCUAGUGGUUAGGACACCGCCCUUUCACGGCGGCAACACGGGUUCAAAUCCCGUAAAGGAUA